rnacentral:rRNA from 1 species
GUGUUGGGUUCAGUCCCGCAACGAGCGCAACCCUCGCCCUUUGUUGCCAUCGGGUAAAGCCGGGCACUCUAAGGGGACUGCCAGCGACAAGUUGGAGGAAGGAGAGGAUGACGUCAAGUCAUCAUGGCCUUUAUGCCUAGGGCCACACACGUGCAACAAUGGCCGGUACAGACGGAGGCAAUGCCGAGAGGCGGAGCAAACCCGAGAAAACCGGUCCCAGUUCGGAUUGAGGUCUGCAACUCGACCUCAUGAAGUCGGAAUCGCUAGUAAUCGCAUAUCAGAACGAUGCGGUGAAUACGUUCCCGGGCCUUGUACACACCGCCCGUCACACCACGAAAGUUUGUUGUACCCGAAGUCGGUGCCUUAA